rnacentral:sRNA from 1 species
AUAUAGCCCCGAUGGAAGCGAUAUCCUUUUGUGUCCGCCGCAGCGGACACAAAAGAUUUAGCGGACAGCGGGACGGGUC